rnacentral:rRNA from 1 species
AACGAACGCUGGCGGCAGGCUUAACACAUGCAAGUCGAACGCCCCGCAAGGGGAGUGGCGCACGGGUGAGUAACGCGUGGAUACCUGCCUUUUGGUUCGGAAUAACCCCGGGAAACUGGGGCUAAUACCGGAUCGUUCCUACGGGAUAAAGAUUUAUCGCCAAAAGAUGAGUCCGCGUACGAUUAGCUAGUUGGUGAGGUAAUGGCUCACCAAGGCGACGAUCGUUAGCUGGUCUGAGAGGACGAUCAGCCACACUGGGCAUGAGACACGGCCCAGACUCCUACGGGAGGCAGCAGUGGGGAAUAUUGGACAAUGGGGGCAACCCUGAUCCAGCCAUGCCGCGUGAGUGAUGAAGGCCUUCGGGUUGUAAAGCUCUUUUGGCGGGGACGAUGAUGACGGUACCCGCAGAAUAAGCCCCGGCUAACUUCGUGCCAGCCGCCGCUGUAA